GAUGAACGCUGACAGAAUGCUUAACACAUGCAAGUCAACUUGAACUUCGGUUUGGGUGGCGGACGGGUGAGUAACGCGUAAAGAACUUGCCUCACAGAUAGGGACAACAUUUGGAAACGAAUGCUAAUACCUGAUAUUAUGAUUAUAUGGCAUCGUAUAAUUAUGAAAGCUAUAUGCGCUGUGAGAGAGCUUUGCGUCCCAUUAGCUAGUUGGAGAGGUAACGGCUCACCAAGGCGAUGAUGGGUAGCCGGCCUGAGAGGGUGAUCGGCCACAAGGGGACUGAGACACGGCCCUUACUCCUACGGGAGGCAGCAGUGGGGAAUAUUGGACAAUGGACCGAGAGUCUGAUCCAGCAAUUCUGUGUGCACGAUGAAGUUUUUCGGAAUGUAAAGUGCUUUCAGUUGGGAAGAAAAAAAUGACGGUACCAACAGAAGAAGUGACGGCUAAAUACGUG
rnacentral:rRNA from 1 species